GCUGUUUGAUUUGUCAGGACUUAAAUCAAAUGAUCAAAGCUGCCAGCAGGGUGAAAUCAGUGCUCUAAGUCCUCCUAAGGCUUUUUGCUUCUGUAGUGAGCAGGGGCAAAUCCUUCUGCAAACUUCUAAGGAGCAUCCUGGAGUUCUAUGGUUCUAUGUUCUAUGGUUUAGGCUCCUUCUCCGUGUCCUAACCAAACGCAGUUGCCAGUUUUAAGAUGGAAUGACCUGACUUUGUGACUUCGGCAGAUCCGUUUCAGCAGGAGUCAUCUCAGUGAAUACAGACACAACAGUUCUGCUCUUGGGCUCAUGUGGAACAGCAGCACCUGCAAUGCCACAAAAAGCAAAAAUCCAAGAAGAGGAGCACAAGCAAAAUGUAUUUCCAUGUAAGGACGCCUCUCUUUGCCCUAAUAAGAAAUGGGUGAAUAAAGAGGCUGGCAGGUGAGGUUUGGCUCAGCGUCAGCCUCUCUCCAGGCAGCCUGAAUACACUGGCACUCGUCCUGGUGUCACUGUGACCUUCAGGAACGUUCUCUGUAUUUUCCUGCUGUUGCACACAAUGGAGCUCCUGCAGAGCAGGGCAGGGUCCUGUCCUGGCUGUCUCUUCCACCUUCCUGCAUUCCCUCUGGCAUCCAACCCAGCUCAGUCACCCAGGGAGUAACAUGCAGGAGGAGAGUGGCCGUGUUGCAAUGCUUCCAACCAGCGUUACACCCUCUAGGAAAUUGUUGCCUCAUCGUUGGAGGGGAGAGGCUGCAGUGAAGGAGGUACUGAGUUAAGAGGUUAUAACCAGAGGAACCUGAAGGAUUUAUUUAUACCCUGCAUUUUGUGAGCCUAAUGCACUUUGGAUGCCUGUUUUCCUUCUCUUUUUGGUUUGGAUCAGAGUGCUAACCAUAGUGCAAGGGGUGUUGUAGCUGCUUCUUUGGGCAGGCAUUCAGCCCUGCUGUCGUUCAGCCUGCAGGAAUGCAAUGCCUCCAAAAUCUGCUGAAUUUCAAACAACUUGCCCAGAAAUGACAGCCAAAGUGACUGCAUAAUCCUUAUGAUGUUGGAAAACUACUCUCAAGAAAUUAAUGUGCAAUAGCAAAGAAUGCGUGUUGCUGGCACAGGCACGGUUAUAGCUAUGCUAAGACUGUGCAUGUUUAAUUCGAGGUAGUUCUUCUGCCAAAGGGGUUUCUGUGCCAUAUUUUGCUAUAUAAACAGUAUUGAGACCUUGCUUUUAGAAUUAGGUUUCUGCAAAUUCUAUGGGCACCAUAUGAAGGACAAGGAACCAACCCUGGCAAGUGCAGAGCUUGAAGGUUUUGCAUCUUCUCCUUACCACCCAAUGGCUGGAUCUGCCAGAGUGCACGAUGCACACACAUGUGGCAGUGAGUGUUACUACAGUAAUAUCACGCUUGUCAUAGACCCAUAGAUUGGCAUGGAUUGGAAGGGAUCUUAAAGAUCACUCAGUUCCUACCAUCUGCUGUGGGCUUUUCAGCACUUCUUGCUAUAAAUGGAUGCAGCCUGAGGAUGGAAAUCUGCAUCUAGUUGAGGAGGGAAGGCUUUUGGAGCUCCCUUGGCUCCUGGUUGUGGUGUUCAGGCCUGAGGUUGUCCUGCUGGGAAGGUGCUGAGCUGUGGGAGUGGGGGCUAUCAGGGCGAUCUCCUGCCUUUGGAGCUGCCUGGGGAAUGACUCAUGCACUGCUGUGUGUGCACAGAGUGCCCUUUUUGGCUGCACGCUGAGGGUCAGAAUAGCAAACAGCAUUUAGGAGGCUGCUGCCCCCCAGCUCUUGCACACAAAACAAUUUCCAGAGUAUCCAUGGAGCCAAAAUGUGGUUGAUCCGUAUGGGUUUUAUUGUGUUGUAUUGCUAUCUGUUGCAUUGCUAUUUUUGAGCAGCAUCAGCGGUGCUUUUCCAAGGAGCCAGAGCACCAUCAGGAAAGGAGGAGCCAAUGUGAGGUGUGAGAAAUGCAUUACAACUCUUCCAAGCUUUUGGUCUUCUCACCUGCAUGAUGGAAAGUUAUUUCUGUAUUGUGAACUUUCACAGUAAUCAAUAAUCGUGAGCUACUGCUCUGUGUUUAUUAAAUAAUGCAUCUUUGUGCCUCCCACCCCAAACCAAAGCACAGGUGGGGCUGUGCCCUGCCCUGCUCCCAGCACAGCAGGCAUGUGGGCUGCAGACUUGGGGGAAUUAAUGAUUAACCCCAGACUGAAUUCUGAACGGAGCUGUGGAGGUGGGAGAAGACAAUCCAAGCUCUCGUUCUGGCUGCUGAAUGGGAGCUCAUUUUGUGAGGUUCCAGAUUUAUAACAGCAUUAGGUUGAUGGUGGGAAUUAAUAAUCAAAAGGUUUUUUUUUCCCCCAGUCUAAAUGGUUCUAUGGGUCCAUAGCAGGGCCAUCUUUCAAUGCUGAUGGUUGGACCUCCCUUGUGUUUUCUUGCUAUUGCUUUGUGCUGGUGCUGACCCAUACCUCACAUUUUGCUCCUGUUCUGAUUCAGGGCUGUGAUUUAAGAAGGUACGAGUGGCUCCAGCCAAACCCAGCCCCUCAGGUGUGGCAGCGGCAGAAAGAAAGGUGGGAAAGAAAGAAAGCAAACAGCUCUUGUGUGUGACUUUGGCCAAUUACCUGCUGGUAGGCGUCAAGGAAGACAGGGAACAGUCUGCUCACCUUUUCCACAAAUAGACUGAGGGCUCCACCUGAGCACGUUCCAGCCAUUUCCCUCUCCUGAUGCCUCUGCAGCCCUCCAUCUCCCAUCUAGAUGACCCUGGUCCCCAGGCUUGCAGAAGACCUACCAGUUGUCCAUGCUUUUGGAUGGCUUUUUGGUGCUGCAGGUGCUUGGCUGCAAGUGGCACACAAAACCCACUUCUGUGGGAGCUCUGUGCAGCAGAUGGCAUUGUGAAGAACAAAGCAGAGGGCUGCUUGCAAUGAAGGAGGAGUGUGCUUUUGUGCUGAGUGCAGGAUGUUUGCUCUGCAGCUCAAGGGAACCAGCUGGUAACGCUGCAGAACCUCUGCAUUUGGUGGCUAUGGGAGAGAAGUGACACCAGGCUGCAUGUAAACCCUGUGAAUGUUCUGCUUCAACAAAAGCAGGAGUGGUGCAGGCAGGUGGAACAGCUCUUUGCUUUCCUGCCCACUGGACUCUGCUAACAAAACUACUAUCUGCUCUUCACCAUUGCUGCUGAGCAGCGAUGCAUUGCACUGCAGAGCAUCACACUGAUGCUGCAUCAAACCAGUGUAUUAUCCCAGUGAUACAGCAGCACAGCAUUGACCUGUGCCAGCCUCCAGCACUUCUUCCCAUCUCCCAGGCCACAGAAACACUGAAAGCCUGAGGCUGGGUGACGCUACGUGCCAGGGAUAGGAGCCUUUGUGAGCCCAGCCUUUGUUCUGUGCCACGCAACAAAGCCCAGUAACGACCAGCCUUUUACCUGCCACCUGUUUGCUUUACCUGUGUUAUAUUGUGCCAGAAGAAAAGCCAGGAAACAGCAGCAGGCAAUAACUCACAGAAACCAGUGGGAGCUGGAGGAAACCAUCACGGAAACACAGAGCUACUUUAAUGCCAGGAGGGAUGACUUCCAGAAUUCCUACAGAAUUCAAGAAGGACACAAAGAGGAGAGAAAAAGCAACCCUUAAAGUGGAGUGUUGGGGCAACCUGAUUGCUGUUGGCUCUGGAUCAGCCUGGUUAUUUCUCUCUUUGCCUUGUGAGCUCUUCAAACCCUGACAGGGCCCCAUCUGUCGCUGUGAGCUCCUUGCAAAGCAGGCUACAGAAGCAGUUGCUUCGCACCAUCCGACAGGGCCAAAUUUUCCUGCCUGUUGUCAAUCACCACUUGCACAAACCACAAGGAACAUCCCAUGGGCCAUCCUGAGAGCUAUUUCUAUUUUCUAAGCACGGAGAGCAUUUAUUUGGCAUAGAUGGCCAUUUGGAACUGCUCACCCUGCCUCUUGCAGCUUCAGAUGAGGACCAUCCCCUUGUUAUGCAUCUUAAUAAGAUGCUCAAUUAGCCCCCAUCAACUCAGCUGGAUGUGUUGAUGGUCAGGGUGACUAAAUAGCAAUAAAGAAGCCAAAGGGAGUGGAUAGCCACAAUGUGGAGUGGCUGUUGGGCUUCACAAAUGGCUGCUCACCCCAUUUAUUUCCACCGACCCAGGAGCUCCCAACAUCUUGGUUGCUGUUAGCAGGAAGCUGAAAACCAAUGGGUGCAGUUCUGAUGCAUGAGGUCUGUGCAUCCUCCCACACCAAAGCGGGUCCUGAGGAACCCCAGCAUUGAAAGGCACCAACAAUCCUCUUGAAAGGAGGGAGUGAUGGGAUCGCAUAUUCGACCUGCGGUGAGAUGAGAGGUGGCAAAAGCUGCAUCCUUGCAGAUUGUCUGAGCUCAGCUGGAAAAGACCCCAGUCCACCCCAAUCCACUCUGCAUCAGCCUAUUUGGCCUUUACCAGCCCUGCUUGAUAUUUCUGAUGCCAUCUGAAGAUGCCAUUGGGACAACUCAAGUCAAUCAGCAUUUCAUUUAUGAUGCUCUGGGAAUCAGCCCAGCAGGAAAGGAGAUUGGUAUGACCCUGUCACUUUCUGAAGGCUCCGGGGAUGUUUUAAUCUGAUUCAGAAGAUUUUUGUCUGUGGUCCAGCUAUAAGGUAAUACAUUGCAAUUCCAAGAGCAAAACUACACGAGAGCUAUACCAGAAAUUCUGAGCUAACAACUCAAUGUUCCUGGGCUCAAUGGAUCUCUCCUAGGCCCAUUUCUUACAACUGAGACCUUUCAGCAAUCUCAGAGAUGUUAUGCUGAGUAAGACACGUGCUCAAGCCAGAGGACUUGCACAUAAAUGCCAUGAAAAGUCCCUUAAAAAGCAUAAAGUCUAAAUCUUGCCAAGAGAUUCAACAGGAUGCCUCUUUGUGCACCCAGAUGUACAAACUGGUGCUGAUGGUACCUGGGGAGCAGCAUUAUGUCAGCUCUCAACUCCCUCCUGUUCGCCAGAGAUGGAGAACAUCCAGAAUGAAGAGGGAUGGUUCUCUCCACAACGUGUGUAAGCAAAGAGGAAAGUCAGAAGGGGCUGAAAAUGAAGAAUAUUUUCAGGGCCUCUUCUUUUAAAGCCUUUUCCACCCUCCUGACUUUGACACGUUUCCCAGUAAGGAAAAAAAAACUCCGUGAGGCCAAACUAGCUCUGAGCUUAUCUCCAGCUCUCACUGGAACUGCCCUUUCACUAAUGCUUCUCAGAAGGUCAAAGUUUCUUCCAUAAAGCAAGGUGAGUGCAGUGGAUGUGUUCAGGGCCAUGGGUGCAAGGUGUGUAAAAGCAGCAGAGAUAGAUAGCAGUGAGGUGUUCUGGCACUCCAAGGACUUAGGGAGAGCUGUGGCUUUCCCCCUUUACUCAGAGCUCCCUCAUUGCUUUUCCUCCUAUUUGCAGUUGUGAACAAAAGGAUAAGAAUUCUAUGAAAUCUAUGAGGGCAGUGCUGCUGCACUUUACAUGCCCUUAAAGAAACACAACUGGAUCAGCCAAUUCCCUUCAUGCAUGCUAAAAAACAUAAAUACCAGUCUGAAUUGCCAUGGAAAACUGAAAAGCCCCAGUCCAUUAUUUGAUUUCCUACUUCUCCAUUUAAGAAUGGAAAAAAUAUUUAAUUAAAAUCCUUUUCUUGACAUGCCAGCUCUUCUGCUACUCAUUCAUGCCACUUCAGGAAUGUCAGCCCAGAGCAGGAUUUGACUCCCAGUGUAUUACUACUAAGGAGCAAUAUUAUGCAGACAGAACUUGGACUAGACCUGUGAAGCCAUUCAGCCCUUUCUGCAUGCCAACAGAAUGUGUUGCUGGCACACUUUGCCAGCGUGGCACUUCCAAUGGAGCAGCAGACAACACUUUCACCAUGCAUCAACCCAUGCUAUGCCAACGUCCUCAGCAGUCACUUCCACCACAACCAAACACCUGCAGAUUGAGCCAACCAGCAGAACACACCUGGAGUUAAAUACCAAAAAGAACCCAGCCCACGACGUUCUGCAACCUUGCACAGUGUUCACCUACAAGCUGUGCAAUGGUAGCAUGCCAAGAUGACUACUACAAAGUUUUUUCCAGCUGGGCCUGAGCACUUCGGUCAUACCCGGGAUAUUUCAGAAGCAACAGGUCAUGAAGAGAAGGAAGGAGAAAGGUGGGAGCGGAAGGGAAGUGCGGUUGGAUCCUUACCGUUGUGAAAGAGCCGGGCGCAAAACACAAAGCAACGCGGUGUGAUCCAAAGAGGAACCCAAAACCAAAAUCCGAACCGGUACUGAAAAACCCCAAACGUCCCAUCUUGUUUUUCUGAGUCCUCAAUAGAGUGCUUUUCUCAGGCUACGCGGUACCCAUGAAAUAUAAAACCACCCUAAUGGUCGCCCAGGUUACCGACUUCAUUUAGUUAAUCAUCACCACUAUUACCAAUGUUCAGGCCUUGAGAAAAAAAGGAAAGAAUGACUGAAGAGGAGUGGAAAACAAGGAACUUAAGUGAACCCCACCCCCCUUAUUUUUUUACACGUCAGGAGCAAUUAGAUUAAGGACAGGAAGAAAACCCUGUUUCCUACAUGAGCAAACCUCCACGCAAAAGAGGAGAGUUCUUAUAGUUUUAUGGCUGCCUAAUGGAAGUGACUUCCAAAUGCUACCAUCAGCUGGGAGAAGAUAUAGGCAAGAAUAGAAAAAUAGAAGUCACGAAUUAGCCUCAGUGAAACGGAGGGGUAAGUAAUCUAGCAGCAUUUCCUGCAAUUUUGACAACAUUUUCCAGAAAUUAAGGAUGUUUUAGAAACCAAUCAAAUCCAGCAGCGUUCAAUCAGGGCAGGCUCAGCUCCCUGGCUCAGAUGAGCCCCAUUCCCUGGCACUGUCUAGCCCAGCUCAGUGCCUCAAAGAACCUUCUCGAAGGCCGUUUGACUGGAGGGGUGGAGGGACCGCGUGAGCAAACAUUUUCUGCUGACUGCAAAGUGUCUGCAAAGCCAGCCCAGCGCCUCUUCCUGGACAGGGUGGCUGCACUGCACACAGAGCCUGCUUGCUUACAAAACACCUCUCAUUCCUCAUCCAAAUUUACCACGUCAACAGCAUUGCCCGCCAGCUGCCAGCUCAACGAGGAGCCAAAAAGGAGCUUUUUGGGUUCCUCCAUCUUCCCGUCUGUGGGAGCAGCCCACGAGCAGGCUUGCACCUCACCAGGCAGCCAAGUGCUUUGUUUUGUCUCCCCGGUGUCCGAGCAGGCAAUGCAAGCAGGAGCUGGUUGGGCUGGCACCAGGCCUUCUGCAGCAAGAGCAAGGAGCCCUAAUGGCGCUCGUUUGGUCGUGCACGAAAAAGCCUCGGGUAAGAAAAGAAUAAACAAAACGAACCCAAAAUGGCUCCUCCGUGCCAUGAGCGGAAACUGAUGGGUGAGGCAGAGAGAGACCUUCCCUACGCUUCCACCUCAGCGAGGUGGUCUGAAGGGUUCCAAAUCUCCUUCCUUCACUUGCAAUGCAGAAGCUGAGGAAUUAAUUCUGGCUGCCAAGGACCCACAAACAUACGGCUAAAACAAGAAGGUCGGGCGUUUUGUAAUUGCAAUAAAAUACAUCAAGAUGGCAGUUGAUUUAGAAUUGAAUUGGAAAAAUGGCCAUCACCACAAAGAAAAGGAAAAGGAGCUUAUAGCCUGCUGCAUUUCAAAGGUCACCAUUAGCACUGCCCAGGCUAGGUCCUUGUUGAAAUGCAAUGAUUCUGCUUGGAUGGAUUUCUCUAGUUUUAUACCAUCGCUUUUCAGCUGCCGUAAGCCUCCUCAGAUGGAGUCUUUUUUGCAAGCUCUCCAGGACACCUGGGUGAAACUGGCUUUCCCCCAUGGCUCCCUCCUAUUUGGUUUCUUGGUUCUGCUCUGCCUGCCCUGACUGGUUUGGCUGGUUGGAAAAUGAACGCUGGAUUCAUGCGCCGCUCCCCCUCCCCCAGAACUGAGCAGACAAAACCUGAUCCCGACAACAAAACCCUCUUUAAUCCACCUGGGGAGAAAAGGAGGAAGAGAAAAGAGGACAGAACCCUGCGAAAAAGUGGAGAGGAGAAACACAGGUAUGAAAAGCACUGAAGAAGUCGUGCCGCGUGCUACUCAGAUCAUUGCUACCACAGUACCUGUAUGCCGUGUCUUACCAGUACCAUGAACACACACACCAUUCAUGCAACUUCAGUGCUGAUCGCACAGCACCUUUUCCCAAACCAAGACUGCCAGCCUUUGAGAGGGCAACCAAAGGGACACAGCGAGCAUCGCGGGUGCACGGCAGGGCUUUCAUCUUCUGAUCUUCCCAUGUCCUGGAAAAGACGAACUCGAAGCGAGAGGUGUUCGCAGCGAAGGGAGGGGAAAAAAAAUAAUAAAAAAAAAUAGAACUAAACCUGAAAGAAAAAAACAAAAAACCACCAACUCAAAGUGGUAGCAGCCUACCGAAACCUAACCGAAUUAAAAAAUAAUAAUAAUAACAAAAAAAUAGGAAAGCAAAAAGGAUAAAACCACGCGUGGCUUUCUUCGCAGCCCAGAGCUCUGCUGCUUGUUUAAGCUGGAAUUGAGAAGAGACGGCGAGUGUCUACGGGCUCGUCUUACAUGUAGUCCUUCACCCCUCCCUGCGCAGGUGCAUUCCUUGCGCCCAGCCAAUCUGCGGCCGCUGGCCCCCAACAGGUGUGUCCUCCACGGGGAGCGGCCGGUCGGGCCUCAGCCCUGUGCCGAGGCGGCCUCUCCGGGGGCACUCAGCCUCCCUGCUGCUGUCUUGAACAAAGAAUUGAUUAUUUACCGAGCGUGGGCUCCGAUCUGGUGCUCCUGCUCCACCUCGAGCUCCUCCCAGGCGCCCCGAAUGUUGGCGCGAUGUGGAGCUGUGGGUUCGUUGCUGAGAAAUAUUUUGGGGUGGUUGUUGUUGGUCAACCUGUUGGAUGAGAAAUGUGAUUAUUUAGCUGAAACCCACCUGGCUGACCUCGCCUGUGGCUGCAGUGCAUCGGUGGGUGAUCGCUUUCCCCAAGUGAAGGAUGUAGCAUGCACACAGGGGCAGCUUAAGGCACAAAGAGAUGCAGGGACUUUCUGCAUGAUUUUGCUGGUGAAUCCACAAAAGCUGAUUUGUUUCUUUAUCUUUGAAAGCAGCAGUUUGGAUCCCACCUUGGUCUUGGCACAAGGAAUAAUUUCAGGAACUAACAAAGAAUCCCACCAGAACUCCACUGCUUAAUAGCAGAGACCCACAGCUGGACUCAUGAAAUCAUAGAAUGGCUUUGGUUGGACGGUACCUUAAAGAUCAUGAAGCUCUAACCAAGGAUGCCAGCCACCAGAUCAGGCUGCCCGGGACCCCAUCCAACCUAUCCGUGAAUUCCUGUGGCCUUUCAGGUGUACCAUGGCUGGAAACACUACAAUCUCAGCAUAGUUCAGCUUAGACUGCUGGUAUUCAUUCCUAGAUCUGUCAGAUAGAAAUUCCAUUCUCAAUACUGUCAAAAAUCCCCAUUUCCCCUUCCCUGCACGGAGUGCUACUGGGAUGCUGACAAGUGGAGUCUCUUCCACGACAUAUCCUUGUGUUGAAAGUGUUGAGGGAUGUGCAAAAAGGGUUUACUGGUGCUCAGUCCUAAUCAUGAUUGGUGUCAGCAUGUAAAAUGAAACAAAGCCAAGCAGUCAUUUUCUACAUAGAAUUUUUAGCCCCUUUCAAAGGAAGUUUUCCUUAAAUUCUCAGCAGUGUCAUGAAAAAAGAAAAACAAGUGAAAUGUUUUCUCCUUGUUAUGAAGGAAGCUCUCCUAUUUCCCAUGAAAGAUGUAGCUAAUGAAACAACACAUUAUCAUGUUAAUUAACCCAACCGGCAGAAGAAUUCCCCUAAGAAAUGACUUAUCCUCACAGCUAACUCCAGAGAAACCUUGGAAACCUUUAGUUGCAGAAGACUGAUUUCUUCUGCAAGGGUUUCUGCAGUUUGAUUAUGCCCUCGGCUGUGCUUCUGAGCACGCUGCCUUUUUCCUUUUCUUCUCUCCCUGGCUAGAGCUGUAGCUUCCAGACACAGGUUUUCGCCUGGGACAAGUCGAACCCACAGCAUCUGGAGGAGAAAUUUAUGCCUGCAGUAUCUGAUCCUGCGUUUGUGAGCUCUCAGAAGAAUUUAAAACCCAAAGUUAAUAAAUAGCUUUCCAAAUACAGCAUUUAGGUUUCCAAUUGGUUGGCUGGCGUACUUAGCAUAGAUAGCAUCUAUAAUCUAUAGGAAACUACCAGCCUCCUCAGCACUAUUCCCCAAUGGGAUAAAUGCAGCGUGACUGGGAGGUGGGAUGCAGCCCCUGGGGCCAUGGCUGUGCUCUGUUAGCAGGUGUGAUGCAAACCUGGAUCUCACCUCCCCCAGGCCAACCAAACCAAAUUCACAUCUUUCCCCCUCUGUACCACCUCUUUCAUCUCCAUCCUAUCUGUUUAGCAUCCUGGGAACCGCUCCUUUUUGUUUUUCAGGGUCCUAUCAAAGCCAACCCAAGGUUUGAAUAACGGUGAGUGAACUCCACUCAGUUCCAAUCCAAGAGAAUGGGAUGCUUGGCAGCUCUGCCUCCCAAAUCCCACUUCCCCACAGUUGCAUUUUUCUGUCCUCUGUUCAUUUAUUACUUCCUACCUGGCUUCCAGGGGUAAUGCAGAAAACUGAGUUUUGCUAUGGAAAAAGUCAACCUUAUCUUUCUGCAGAAAUGCCUGCAAACGAGCCUCCCUGUUAUCACAACAACAACAGCAAAAAACCUUAUUAUCAGCAAUAAUCUAUACCCCGGCCUUGGUUUGUACACAAGAGCCAUUUGUUUGCAAACAGAGAAUAUUUACAUAUGACAUACUUGUUUGAUGGUAAUCCUAAACCCUUCUCUAUCAUCUCAGUCCUACCCGAGUGUGUCUGUUGUACCUUGCUUCAGGCUGGUUAUUCUCUCAUCUUUUGCACACUAGAAGCUGCACGCUGGGGAGACUUUCAUCUGGCACUGUAAUGAGAGCGAUGCUGAUUUUGUUCCUUGACAAUCUCAUGUGUGUUAUUGCAAUGAACCUCUGAUCAGCUUA